UGUACAUGUAGGUAGAGUUAAAGUGACUAUGCAUAGAUAAUAAACAGAGAGUAGCAGUAGCGGCGUAAAAAGGGGAGCAAUGCAAAUAGUCUGGGUAGCCAUUUGAUUAGCUGUUCAGGAGUCUUAUGGCUUGGGGGUAGAAGCUGUUAAGCCUUUUGGACCUAGACUUGGUGCUCCGGUACCGCUUGCCGUGCGCUAGCAGAGAGAACAGUCUAUGACUGGGGAGUCUUCGACGAUUAUUAAGGCCUUCUUCCGACACCGUCUGGUGUCAGAGAAAGGCGUUAGUUGCACUAAACAGAUGCAACAUUGCAUUGGCGAGUUAGUUAGCUAGUCUUGCUAGCUGUAUAUUUAGCUCAGCCUCAUGAGGAAAAUCGAAACCUAUAGCUGGUGAAGAUUUUAAACGCGAGGUUGCUUGUAUUGCUAGGUAAUGUAGAGUUGGCUAGCCAUGUUGUCUUUAGCUAUGUAACUUGAUGCCAUGUAAAUUAGUGUUUGCAUCUGUGUCAACUUGGCCACAAUAUCUGACUUGGUGACCCUGAUGAUGUAGCGAGGUAACCACACAUCAGUGGAUGGAGGAGGCAUGGAGCAAAAUAACCUUGGUGGCGCUAGGCAUCUAACCAUCCGUCCAGUCUAUGAGAUUGGUCAAGGUGACAACUAGCUAGCUAGUCUGUCUGCAUAACGUUCGCUACCUAAAUCUGUACGUUUCUGUAUGCUUUCUCUGAUUAAUUGUAUAGCUAAAUACAAAAUCUGAGCACUGUCUUUAGCCAUUUCAUUGCUAAAUGGUUCCUCCUCGUCAAUUCAAGGAAGGCAAUAGGUCUCGGAAUGGCAAAAGUGGACCCAGCCAGUCCAGCACCCCUCAUUAGAACGAUGCCUAUGCCAGACUCCUCGGCCAACAUCACAGUAGGAAGUUCUGCCCAACAGCAGGGGGAACAGAGUGGGCCAAACGCACAGAGGCAGGGUUUAGCCCACAUCAACAAACAAGACAUACCGCAGAGAAAAAGGGACCAUGCAUUUAUCGAGUGCUCUGACUCAAGUGACUUCUUGCCUUCACCUAUGAAAGGUAAGGGAGGACAAGACGGCUCUCUGUCCUUGUACAUGGACAAGAGGCGCGCUGCAGGAGCCGGAGAGGAAGCAGGGGGUUUCCGAAAAGCAGCCACAGGUGUGCUAGGGACACCAAAACCAGUCAGGACAGAGAUGUGGAGUCCGGUGAGUAGUUGUGCUCUCUCAAACAGAGGGACUCCCAGCAGCAACACCAGAUGACAAAACAAAGACUACAAAGACCAUGCUUCCAAAGUGCCCACAGGUAACCAAAGAACAUGAGUCAUGGGAUAUCUCCCCCAAAAGCCGGUUUAACAGAUAUAUUUUUUAAAUUAACCUUUAUUUAAAGUCAGUUAAAGUCAGCAAGUCAGCAAGUCAGCAAGUCAGUUAAGAACAAAUUCUUCUUUACAAUGAUGGCCAAACCCGGACGACGCUGGGCCAAUUGUGCGCCACCCUAUGGGGACUCUCAAUAAAUGGCUGGAUGUGAUACAGCCUGGAUUCAAACCAGGGUCUCUUGCACUGAGAUGCAGUGCCUUAGACCGCUGCGCCACUCGGGAGCCCACUCAGGAUGCCGAGGAGGACCAAAGAAGACAGUGUUUGAAGCGUACAUGACCAUGGAGGACGUUUCCGGCGGCCUAAAGAGAGGAGAGCACAUUCAGGGAUCAAGAAGAAUCAACCCCAAAAAGUAUCAUGAGGCUUUCAUUGUGUGUGUGUGUGUGUGUGUGUGUGUGUGUGUGUACACAAACGGAGAGGUUUUUGUUUGGACUGUGUGUGUCUACACAAACAUGUAUGUCUACACAAACAUGUAUCUCUCUGUGUGUGUGUGUACACAUUUAUUUAUUUUUUUAUAAGCUUGGCGGUUCCAGCCCUGAAUGCUGAUUGGCUGACAGCCGUGGUAUAUCAGACCGUAUGCCACGGGUUGGUGGAGGAGUUCAUGUUGCUUGCCAACGUGCUGUUCGACAGACACUUCACCUCGCUGCAACGCUGAUGUCAUCAUCCACAGGCUGGCAGACUCUCUGGGCUGUGGUCCUCUUCUGUAGCGGAGGUGCAGAAGCAGGCGUCCUGCUGUAACGAUGACGUGACUGCCUCAGAGAGAGUCCAGGAGCUCAGCUCUGAGCUGUUCUUCAUCAAGGAGAUCUCCAUCUUUAGUCUGGACAGCUGAGGGCAGACGGAGCUCCUAUGAAAUACAGCGCUGUAAUCAAGAGGCCCAAUUAGACAUCGUCGUGGAUACUACGAUAACUCACACACAUGAUAAGACAGACCGAGUUUACUUGGACAGUAUUGUGCGCUUGACAACACAUACAUGAUAACACACAUGUCAUUGCACGUGUUCUUUUGUAUGUAUUAGAAAAGCCAUUUUACUUCAUGGUUCAAUUACCAUCGAGGAGCCAAGGCUCUGAAGUAGCACUGAAGCAGUGUUAUUUAAAUACGGCCUGGACCAUUUUGAAAUGAACUGUAAAAGUGCCAAUACUGCAAUGAAUAACGUUUUAUAUUUAGCAGUUUUGACCCUAUGUAAUUUUUCGCAAAAGUAUAUACACAGUCGAUGUGUGAAGAUAAUAUAAACUAAAUAUGGUUUAAACUAAGCUGUUCUAUUAAUGUCGAGUUUUACAGUAACUCGUCAUUUCAGUCGCAAUGCAAUUCUUUGAUUAGUGGUAGCAGUCACCUUGCAAGAACUUGUUUUCCCCCGUCAAUUCAUAGUAUGACACUCUGUCCCACUUUAAAUAAAUUACUUUAAAGGUUUAAUAAACCAUUUUUAUAAUGACUAUUUUAAAGCAAAUUCAUACAACAUAUAACAGGAUAACAUGACGCUCAGCCAAGUGCUUUGCCAUGUGUGUUGGGACCACAAAUGUUCCGCAAAUGUUUAAGUUGCCAGUAGGAAGGAAUUCUUGAUACCAUUUUCAAACUCACAAAUCGAAUACGUUGAUAUAGCAAUUUUACUAUCUAGUGUAACUCCCAGUCCUCAACUCCUGUUUAGUCUCUGUGCCCAGAUUAGGAAUUACAUCUGGAUUUACCUUCAACCAGUGGUGUAAAGUACUUAGGUAAAAAUAGUUUGGGGUAUGUGUAUUAUUACUAUUAUAUUUUUGAGUUUUUACUUCGCUACAUUCCUAAAGAAAAUAUAAUUUUUACGCUGUAGAUUUUUACUGACAUCCAAAAGUACUCAUUACAUUUUGAAUGCUUAGCAGGACAGGAAAAUGGUCCAAUUCACGCACUUACAGUAUCAAGAUAACAUCCUUGGUGAUCCCUACUGCCUUGAUCUGGCGGCCUCACUAAGCACAAAUGCUUCAUUUUUAAAUGCUGUCUGAGUGUUGGCAUGUGCCUCUGGUGAUCCGUAAAUAAAAUAUAAACAAGAAAA